rnacentral:lncRNA from 1 species
AAGGGGGUCUGCUUGUUUACAGCUUGUCAAAUUGUUUAUCCUGGAGUGCCUCAGCUGCUUCACAAAUAAAAUACGGAUUCAUUCAUUCAUUGAAUUCUUCAUUCAGCAGAUAAUUAUUUAGCUUCUGCUAUGUCCUAGGCACUAUUCUAUAUAUCUGGAAUAUGUUAGUGAACAAAAGAAGGACCGCUGAUGUUCCUGUGGAACUCAUACAUUCUCUAAGGGGGACACACAGAAAAACAUCAAAUGUAAGAGAUGAGUAAAUAAUACAAUAUGUUAGUAGGUGGUAAUGCUAAGGAAGCAAGAGUGGAAAAGGUAGGGGUGGGAUAGACUGUAGGUCCCUGAGGCAUAGUGCAGUUUUAAAUAGGGUGGUCAGGGUAGGCCAAGUGAGAGUCUUUGCCAAGUGUCUGGGCAAAGACUUCGAGGUGAAGGACUUAGCCAAGUGGAAAUCUGGGGGCAGCAUGUUCCAGGAAGAGUAUCACAUCUGGAGCAAAGGUCAAAUUUGGGAGCAGAUCAUGCAAAGCUAUGCAGGCUGCGUUACAGACUUCAGUUUUGCUCUAUGGGAAAUGAGCAGCCACUGCUGGAUUUCUAGCAAGCCAUUGGUAUUUUCAAAGUUGUGGAGAAUCUUUACCAUAGGAAGCAUGAAUAGGAGCGGAGUCAUAAGGACCUGUAGGAUUUGGGACAUAUUUUGAAGAGGGGGCCAGUCAACACCAAGAUUUUGAUGCAAGCAUCCAGAGUGAUGGUGAUGCCUGCAGGAGGUUUUGUUGCAGACAGAGCAAGUCAAGGGUAAACUAUUUCUAGGGUUUCUUGAUCUUUGGUGAUCUCUGUUGUGGCUUGAAUCCAAAAGCCUCUUCUCUGACUUGGUGUUUCUCACAAACCUUAUUGCCAGUCCUCCUCUUUAGCUUUGCAGCCCUUCAAGUCUUAGCUUUAGGGAGGAAGAGUAGCCUCAUUUGCCAGGCAGCUUAUACGCUGGUUCCUCUUACUCAGUGCUUAGGUGUAAAUCUCUCCACUAAGUGUCUUCCCUCUGGACACUGGACCUAGAGUGAAUAUGAAUGACUCCUAGUUGAGGGGAGAAAACCUUCCUAGUACUUUCAAUAUUUUCUUUACUUUUUUUUCAUAAGAGUAAUUUUUUUUCAUUUUUCUUUUCUUUUCUUUUUUCCUUUUUGGCCCCUCUACGGUGUAUGUGGAGUUCCCUGGCCAGGAGUCAGAUCUGAGCCCCAGUUGCUACCUGAGGCGCAGCUGCGGCAACAUUGGAUCCUUUAAUUCACUGUGUGCCGCAAAGAUGCCACCCAUCCUGUUGUAGCACAGAGGGAACGCCAAGAUUGAUUUUUUUCUUAUAAAUUUUUCUUAAAAUUAUAUAUUAUAAUAAUUUAAGUUUUAGAAGCAAAACUGAUCCUCAUUUUGUAGCAUUAAGGGUUAAUUUCUCUAGGUAAGGAGACCAUGGACAUGUUUCUUCUAGUUUUAUCAGAAUGUUUGAACCUUGAGCAGGAAAAAUUCCUCUUAAGGAUGAGCAGGAAAUAUACUUUCCCUAUCAAUCUUAUCACUUACUUCUUUAUUUUGGGUCAUCUGUAGGGAUUGUUGGGUUUACAGCCGACAGAAUGAGUUUUAAAAUAUGCCAACUGGCCACCAGGACCUGGGUUGAAACUAUAAACUGAUUUUAUUCAGGUCUCUGCAUAAGUGUGAUAGAGGCAUUGGUCCCCAUGGUCAAGUUUGCACUAAAGUCAUUGCACAGCAAAACCUCCCAAGGCUACAUUUUUAUGUUUCAUUUUCAGACUGUUGGUGCCAAAGGAGCAAUUAAAAUGUGUGAAUGAUGUCUAUUUCCCUCUUGAUAAAUAAUGUGGAUGGCCUACAGUCUGUUCAUAUUCAUGGCAAGGGAUUUAACAGGCUAUUGUGUUAGUAACAAUGUGGAUGCAAAUUAUAAACAUUUAUCAUCUCAAAGUUUCAUGCCAUUUUCAAAGCAAUGUCAGUUGAAACAGAUGCUCUAAACCCCCCCCCAAAAAAACAAUCUUUAGAUGAUUUCUCCACAUUCUCCCAAAACAAUUUGUCUCUCAGUAACUUCUAUUUAUUAUAUCAAAUAAUAUUGCAAAAUCUACUAGAAAGUGAAGUGUAGAGGAUAAAAAUUUUAAUGUAAUAUCCUCUAAAAUUGAUUUCCUAUCUCUCUAGAUGCUGUGAGCUAUUAUUAAAGUAUAUCAAUAACAACUUCCAUGUGCUGGAAGGUAAUAAUAAGUUCCCUGUGCAUGUUUAUUACCAUGUAUAUUAGGAGGUAAACUACAUAUAUGCUAAUGACAAUUUCCCAAUAUAUUUAUCUAUUUAUCUCAGAAUUUUACAAUUGAUAUUCUCUUCACUCCGGAAAAUCACUGAUCCUAACAGAAAAGUCUAAAGAUUUGAAAGUCUUAAACUUGAAGGGAUAUUUUGCCAAGGGGAAAAGACUCUUUAAGAAUUAUUAUAUUGGAAUUACCUUGUGACACAGUGGAAUUCCCUCUGGCAUUGUCACUGCAGCAGCUCUGGUCACUGCAUGUGGAAAUACAGAGAAACAUAAAUCGUGGACUUGACCUCAAGGGGCUUAUUAUCUAGUUAGUAGGAUGGUCAAAGUUAAAAUAUACAUGGACAUAGGAGACAAUAAUCUCAUAAUUAAAUGGAUAUCAGAGAAGCAUAUUUUAGGCAUUUUGAAAGGAAAUAUUGUGAGAUAAUCAGGAAAGAUUUUAUGGAAGAAGUGGAAUUAGGCAGAGAUUAGGGGAGGUGAACUCUUGAUAGGCGAAAAGGAGGGAGUAGGUAAUGUGUUGAUGAAAAAUACCCCAAAAGAUGAAGGCAAGAGAAGCUCAGAGGCUUGGGGGUAGUGGUGGUAGGAUUGGGAGGUGAUAAGUUUAGAGAGAGGGAUAGAUUUAUGGCAAUGAGAGGAAGCAAAGCCUGGUAAUCAAUGUGCAAAAGCCUAAAGCAUUUAGAUCCUACUCUGAGGCCCAUCUACUAUGGGGAGGUUCGUUUCUUGUAUAAGGAUUCAGGCAGAGUAGAGAUUAAGUCCCAGCUCCACCGCCUAUGAACUGUAGGGUAUUUAGUGAUUUAACUUCUUUGAACUUCAAUUUGCCCUCUGCCCUCUAUCCAAUGGAGAUUCUACCCACCAAGCAGGGUUGUGAAGGCUACAUGAAACAACACUUCAUUGUUACAUUAUCUAUCACCUCCUCUCCAGUAAAUGGGUGGGGCAGGGAAGCUACAGUAAGGGCUUGUGAAGAGCAAAGUGACAUCAUUAAAGGGAUGGCUGUGGCAUUAGAGGAUUAUUCAUUUUGUGAUGGUGUGCAGGAUGAACUGAGGAAGGUGAGCAUGCGUGGGUUGGAGGUGAGCGGAUUCAGGAAAACAAGUUUAUUUGACCACACCCAGGGUCCCAAAUAGCCAGACUGGCCACGGCCAAGCCAGUGGAAGUGACAAAAUGAUUGUCAGAAGGGAAGACCGAAGGGAUUUGGUAACGAUAGAGCCAAAUGUAAAAAAGUGAGAUUCAGAGGAAAAAUCAGCAGACUCCAGGAUGAAGAAAGAAGUAUCAAACAGUAGAACAAAGUAUUAAGGUUGAAAAACUUCUAACAGACGUUUGUGUUUGGGUGCUUUCUGCUUUGUUCUGCUCUGUCUGCCCAGUGCCCUAUCCUCCCCUUUCCUUGGGGUUAGCUCUUCUCUCCCUUUGAUGACAUGUCUGUAUCUGGCAAAUCAGAGCCCUUUAUUGUCUUGGCACAAUGACUGGUCUGGAGGUGAGCUUGUCAUAAGCCUGGGCCAGCCAGAGUCCUUCCCCAGGAUUUUCCUACCUGAGAUAAAUCAACUCCUCUUGACCUCUCUGGGUAUAGAAGCUAGAAGGAUAUCUAGAGUAAACUGAUGGCAGGAGUAUGUGAAGCCAAACAGAGACCACAGGGGAGUUGAGGAGAAGCAGAAGGAUGGAUUUAGAGGUUGAUGAUGUUAUUAGUUCCAUUUCCCAAGAUCCACAGAAUUGCCCUGAUUUCUGUAGGAUUCCUUGUGAAAUUUCUGUGAACUUUGAUCCCUCUAACAAAUCCUCUUCUGUUUAAGCUAGGUUAUGCAACAGAGACACCACUAGAUUUGACUUCAGAAAAGUUAAAAUUCCUAUAAGCCAAAGUAUUAUGAACAAAACCAAGUUGAAUAAACUGGGAAACAUUCCCCGUUGGAAACAAAUACAAUAUG